AACUACACUUCUGGCAACCGUGAAGGGAUAAAAACAAAAAUAAAUGUUGCAAAUUUUUGGUGUUUAUUGAAGCCACUUUAUAAUAAGAGGAACUUUUAUUGUAUGAUUCAUUCUUAUAAACUUCAACAAGGUUUUGGAGAACUAAAUCAAAACUUUUAGUGGAUUACUAUACAAGAUGAUAUUUACUAUUUUGUUAACAAACAUUCAGCCUCAAGAUUAUUCGUGUCCUGUAUCAUUAUGAUUUUUGAAUAAACAAACUUUACUGAGAUGACAAUGUUAAUGAAAUAAAUGUUUCCAAUGAAAAAAGAUAUUUUAAUGAUUUUAUCAAUCCCACUCUUGUUAUUCAUCUUCACACAUCGAAUCCACUGGGAUUGAUGUUUUAGACGCUUCGAACUUCGAACAUCUUCUGCUGUGCGAAUUGAGAAAUAUGUGUGAUGCUCGCUUUGAUCAACUCCAGAAACCGGUAAUCAUUCAUCAAAUCAGUUGUACGCUGGUAUGGCCAUGUUAUGCACCUCGAAUCGAAACGAGCUAACCGUUUGGACGUAGCGCAGUAAGGGCACCUUGGAGACGGCGUUGGGCAAAUAUGAAUACUUUUUAGCACAGCACAAGGAAUACAGUAUCUAAUACUUGAUAAUGAAAGGAAUAGUUCGAUAUUAGGAUAUUACACAUGAAACUAAUAUUGCAUGUACAAUAGACCUUAAAUAAAUUAUACCUACGCGACUUUCACACUAAUUGUUUUUUUAUUAAUGAAUAACAAAACAACGUCACUAACUUUUUAUUCUUUCAAUUUCAGUACGUUGCUCGAAGCUAUUGAAUCCCGAAAGUCACGCAGUUAGUUUUGGCACUACUCAGAAGGGUAAAACCAAAAUUUCCAUCGACGGGUACGACUAUGUCAAGAAUGCAGCAUUUGGAGAGAGAAUCUACUGGGCCUGUACGCAGCGCAUACGCCGAAAAUGCCCGGCUAGGAUCAGCACAGGCGUCUACGGACCAGAAAUAUCAUACAACUGUCGCGCGCACACGCACCCCCCGGAAUAUAAUUCUUAUUACUGGUAGAAUUUUUGCCGAUCAACUCAGUGAUGGCAAAUGCCUACUUUCAUAAAUCAAAUUAGAAUAUAACUCAGGGUUUCAACAUGUAACAGCUUUUCGACGAUACCAAAGAUUCUGUUUUGCAUCUAGUCAAUGAGGAGAGCAGAAUGUUAUUUUUAAAUGUUUCCAAAUAACAUAAAACAAUGAAAAUUAUCCUUAAAUACAUUAAUUAAAUCCUGCCUCGAAACCAUUUGAACUAGUCAGCAGUUGAUGUCGUCGUUCUACAGUCCUAAACCUUUCGGACCACGAUUUUAGCGUGCUCCCUACGGAGAGGGGCAAAUCAAAGAUCAUCAUCGAUGGUUAUUGCUAUCGCAGGAAGAGCCUCAAAGGUAACAAAGUAUACUGGGCCUGCACAAAACUUCGCACGAACCAGUGCCGCGCCAGAAUCACAACAAGAACCGACAGUUCGAAGAUUAUGUACAACCUACGUCCACAUAAUCAUCCGCCAGAAAAUUUUGACAGGAAUAAUAUCUAGCUUUGAAAUACAGGAAUUAUUGACUUGAGUCGACCAUUUUACUCUAUUCUAUUAUUUCAUCAAGUUCACCUUAUCUUCUUCUGUACGUCGUUCUAAUUCGCAUCUUACUAUGUUAACCGUUUCAGCACCUACGGUGAGAAGAAUCGCAGUCAGAAGGGAGUUCCGAAUGAAGCCCGACUGGAACGAAACUACGAUUCAGUUCCCACUGGACAUGCGAACCGUGACAGAUAACAGGGGACGCCCAAUUCUGCUCGUGGAUGGACAUGCAUAUUCGCGGAACAACAUGGGCAAGACUCAAACCUACUGGUUGUGCUCGAAGAAUCGCUCACUGAAGUGCUGUGCCCGAAUUAUCACUCGCAUGGACAGGGCCGGGGUAGUUUUCAAGAAUCCAUUCCAUAACCACCCACCGUAAACGCCAUCUGGUCACGUUGUGACAGUUUGCAAUACAUGCAGAGUAUAUAAAACAGCGACAAACCACAUUAUCUUUUCUUGUGUUUGAUUUAAGUGCUAACACUAAGCUUCUCAAAUGGUCGCGAAAUCACCUUCAUCGUGGGAAAGUUUGGCAAUAUGCAGCUCUUGAUCGACGGUCAUCUAUUCCAGCGUUCGCAGAUUCGCGAACGGAUCGUCAUCUGGAACUGCUCUCGCCGUAGAGCUGGAUGCAAAAGCCGCAUAAGUACCAUACGGGGUCGCACGGGAGUUGCACUGUCGUUUCGCGAUGAUCACAACCACGAGAGUAAAGUGAAAAUGGAGGGUGACAAUAUCAAAGUCAUCAAAAAGACCAAGCUGAGGAUUGUGCAUUGUGAUUGAGGAAAUUAUUAUCACAUAUUAUGUUAGUUGUCAACAUAUAUUAUUUUUAUUAACCUUAAUUUGUCUACAUUAUAUUUUUAUUCUUGAAAGAUUGUGCAUGAUUCUAUAUCGUGCCUAAUAAGUUUGAAUAAAUAUAUGACUAGAAUUAAUCAUUUAAUCAAA